ACACAGUGGUCAGAGCACAUUCAACCAGAUGGCAGGCAUCUGGUACAUUUUUGAAGCAUGUCCCAGUAUAUCUGAGCAAUGUAGAACUGAUCCUGUGGACUAAGGUCCAUGUAGUUCAAUGCAUUAUGCCCUGCUCUGUGCCGUCAGAUCUGAUGCGACAUUUGGCUCUGCAGUACUGUCUUCAGUUCUGGAACCUGUUCUGAAGUGCCCUCCUCCUAGGGAUACUGCUCGGAAGUCACGGACCCUACUCAAAGGAAACGUUUCCCUGUACUGUAACUAAUUCUUUGAGAUGCGCGUCCGUAUGGGUGCUCUACUACUUGUCGUCUUUCCCCUCUGCUUUGGUUGUUCCGUAGGCCAAGGGGAUGACUGAUUAGAGAAGGAACUGAGGGUGGUUCACCCGUGCACCCAUAUAUAGCCUCGGUGUCUGCCCCGAGGAGGGUGCAUACACAGGCCAAACAGACACUGCUAGCUAGAAAUCUCUGUUGAAGGGCUCCAGAGGAGGGGACACAUCUUGAAGAACCACAGUUACUGUUCAGGGUGAGUAACGGUUCCUUAUGUGGUUUAAAAAACAGCUGUUAAACUCAUUCUGCUAUUCCCAACUGGUGUCCAAGUGAAAAUGUAGAAUGUUCUAAUUAAAAAGUACAAGCAGGACAGAAAUCUGAAUUUCCCAAUAUGUGGGUAGAUCACUUCUGAUAUGGUCAGGAUUUCAGUUCCUAAAUGUUGCAGACACUGGGACAGAUCCAGAAAAACUGGCAUGAGGCACAUAUUCUAGGUCUGUGUGCCUGCUAAAACCACCUGUGUCAGAGGGAAUUUAUCCAGGGGAGGUUAAGUGGUUUGUCACCACUGCUAACUGAUCUCCCCCAUUUUUUCCACCAAUAGGAGGGGGAUGGUUCGGGUGUUCCAUCAGGUCUCAUUUGGAGUUUCACCACCAAGAUGUCUUGGGUGUGCCCCCUUUCAGGAGGUUGGAGUCUUUAUGCCAGCACCUGGUUGUCUACCCACCACAAGGGCUUCAGCAGAGUUCAUACUAACAUCCUGGGGUGAAUUUGGUCCACAAUCUUUGUUCUGAAUUCUGAUUAGUUCUGAUCAACUAACCCUGAUUUCGCAUAUGACCAACAACAGGCUCAUCACUGGAUUACUUAUGCUACAAUUGAAUUCCUUCGUUUAAAAUUAUCUCAUCAUGGUCUUUCAAGGUUACAGGACGGGGGAGGAAGUGCUUAGGAAUCACUUAGCAACCAUGUGGCCUGGGUGGAGAAAAUACUGGAUGGGGACUCAGGAGAUCUGCAUUCUAUUCCUGGGGUAAGUCAUUUUGCUUCUCUGUGCCUCAGUUUCCCCAUCUGUUAAAUGGGGAUAAUGAUGGUUACCUCCUGUGUAAAGUGCUCUGAGAAGGACUAAUAAAAAGUGCUAUAUUAAGAGCUAGGUUUGAUUACCUCUCCUCAGCAGUAUCUCAACCACAAACCUAUGUGAUAACUAUAACAGCCUAAACGGCCACGAACGCCUACAGAAAACAUCUUUUUUAAAAAACAAAACAAAAACAAAAACCACCAAACAAAUCGGCUAAUUCACUAAUGCAAAGUGUUGUUAAUGUGGAAUUAAAUUUGCCCUGCGGUGUCCUGUGCCUUUCCAGAACGCCUAAAAACCAGGAAAUAAGGCUAUGUCUACACUACGGGAUUAUUCCGAUUUUACAGAAACCGGUUUUUGGCAAC